rnacentral:rRNA from 1 species
UACGAAGGGGGCUAGCGUUGCUCGGAAUCACUGGGCGUAAAGCGCGCGUAGGCGGCCCGGUAAGUCCGCUGUGAAAGUCCAGGGCUCAACCCUGGAAAGCCGGUGGAUACUGCCGGGCUAGAGUCCGGAAGAGGCGAGUGGAAUUCCUGGUGUAGCGGUGGAAUGCGUAGAUAUCGGGAGGAACACCGGUGGCGAAGGCGGCAUCCUGGACCGGCAUUGACGCUGAAGCGCGAAAGCUAGGGGAGCAAACGGG